rnacentral:rRNA from 1 species
GACGAACGCUGGCGGCGUGCCUAAUACAUGCAAGUAGGACGCAGUUGCGAACGGGUGAGCAACGAGUAGGUAACUCCCGAUCAGAGGGGGCUAACUAUUGGAAAUGAUAGCUAAUACCGCAUACUGGUAGAUGGACCUGCGUUUUAUUAGAUAGUAGGUAGGGUAAUGGCCUACCUAGGCAACGAUACAUAGACGACCGGGGAGGGGUGACGGCCACAAUGUGAACUGAGCACGGCCCAGCCUCCGCAGGGAGGCAGAAGUAGGGAAUCAUCGCAAAUGGGGGGAACCCUUACCGAGCAACGCCGCGGGAGUGAUGCAGGUUUUCGGAUCGUAAAGCUCUGUUGUUAAGGAAGCGUUACUUAACCAGAAAGGGACGGCUAACUACGUGCCAGCAGCCGCGGUAAUAC